rnacentral:lncRNA from 1 species
UGGCCUCUUGUGCUUCCAGAUGGUCUCAGAUACAGAUUUAACCCUUAAAGAGUUCUGGAAAUAAUAUUAAAAAAUCAUUUCCUGUGUGGGGUUAAUGAAAAGUCCUGGGCCAAUGUGUCUUUAAAGACAUAGAGAUCUGCCUGGAAGAAAAUGUGGCCUAAAAUUAUACAGGAGAGAGACUCUGAAGGCUCUGUGGAAGAACCUGAACAACUUGAAUUACAACCAACCCUUGCAAAGAAGUUGAGUCUCCUGCAGGAAAAACAUAAUAAAUGCUGGCACUUGAAAGAUGUGGGAGUUUAGAUAUCGGAAGAGGAGCUUUUGACCUAACAUUGCAAUGUCAGAAUGAUUACAGGUAAA